CCCUCGAGAUGAGAUUUCCCAACUUCGGUUAUAAGAUCCCUCAAAGAUGAUGAGGUAAAUAGGUUCGAGGUGGAAGCGUAGCGAUACGUGGAGCUGACGAAUACUAAUCGAUCGAAGACUUAAUCAAU
rnacentral:rRNA from 1 species